rnacentral:rRNA from 1 species
GACGAACGCUGGCGGCGUGCUUAACACAUGCAAGUCGAACGGAAAGGCCCUGCUCUUGCGGGGUGCUCGAGUGGCGAACGGGUGAGUAAAACGUGAGUAACAUGCCCUUGACUUUGGGAUAACUUCAGGAAACUGGGGCUAAAACCGGAUAGGAGCUCCUGCAGCAUGGGGGGGGUUGGAAAGUUUCGGCGGUUGGGGAUGGACUCGCGGCUUAUCAGCUUGUUGGUGGGGUAGUGGCUUACCAAGGGUUCGACGGGUAGCCGGCCUGAGAGGGUGGCCGGCCACCUUGCUCCUGAGAGAGGCCCCAGUCGCCUACGGGCGGCAGCAGGCGGGAAUAUUGCGGAAUGGGCGGACGCCUGAGGCAGCAACGCCGCGUGCGGGAUGCCGGCCUUCGGGUUGUAAACCGCUUUCGCCUGUGACGAAGCGUGAGUGACGGUAAUGGGUAAGGAAGCACCGGCUAACUACGUG